rnacentral:rRNA from 1 species
CGCCUUUUGUAAUAUUCAUAUAAAAGGUCCUGCCUGCCCAAUGACUUGUUUUAAUGGCCGCGGUAUUAUGACCGUGCAAAGGUAGCGUAAUCAUUUGUCUUCUAAAUAAAGACCAGUAUGAAUGGCAAGACGAAAGCCUCACUGUCUCCCUAGCCUAAUCAAUGAAAUUGAUCUCCCCGUGCAGAAGCGGGGAUAUAAAUAUAAGACGAGAAGACCCUGUGGAGCUUUAAACUUUCGUUUUAGGUUGGGGCGACCAUGAGGCAUAAUGCAACCCUCACGACGAGAACAAGAAGGACACUUCAAACAUUGACCCAAUAUUUGAUCAACGAACCAAGUUACCCCAGGGAUAACAGCGCAAUCUACUCAAAGAGUCCAUAUCGACGAGUGGGUUUACGACCUCGAUGUUGGAUCAGGACCCCCAAACAGCGCAACAGCUGUUAAAGGUUCGUUUGUUCAACGAUUAAAGUCCU